GGAUGAACGCUGGCGGCGUGCCUAAUUCAUGCAAGUCGAGCGAACAGACGAGGAGCUUGCUCCUCUGACGUUAGCGGCGGACGGGUGAGUAACACGUGGAUAACCUACCUAUAAGACUGGGAUAACUUCGGGAAACCGGAGCUAAUACCGGAUAAUAUAUUGAACCGCAUGGUUCAGUAGUGACAGACGGUUUUGCUGUCACUUAUAGAUGGAUCCGCGCCGCAUUAGUUAGUUGGUAAGGUAACGGCUUACCAAGGCAACGAUGCGUAGCCGACCUGAGAGGGUGAUCGGCCACACUGGAACUGAGACACGGUCCAGACUCCUACGAGAGGCAGCAGUAGGGAAUCUUCCGCAAUGGGCGAAAGCUUGACGGAGCAACGCCGCGUGAGUGAUGAAGGUCUUCGGAUCGUAAAACUCCGUUAUUAGGGAAGAACAAAUGUGUAAGUAACUAUGCACGUCUUGACGGUACCUAAUCAGAAAGCCACGGCUAACUACGUG
rnacentral:rRNA from 1 species